UCAGCAGUAGAUAGACGAUUAAGCCCUGAGUGAAAACUUGUACUUAGUCAAAGCCAAGAGGGCCGGUAAAACUCGUGCCAGCCACCGCGGUUAUACGAGAGGCCCAAGUUGACAGGUGCCGGCGUAAAGAGUGGUUAAGGAAAGAUACAAACUAAAGCCGAACACCUUCAGAACUGUCAUACGUUUCCGAAGGUAUGAAGCCCUACCACGAAAGUGGCUUUAUCCCCCUGACCGCCACGAAAGCUGUGAAACAAACUGGGAUUAAGAUACCCCACUAUGC
rnacentral:rRNA from 1 species